GGCAGCAUGGCUGAGUGGUCUAAAGCGCUAGACUUGAAUUUUCAAUAUUCGGGCAUCUAGUACCUUCGGGUGCGCAGGUUCGAACCCUGCUGCUGUCG
rfam:Colletotrichum gloeosporioides Cg-14 contig01584, whole genome shotgun sequence.